AACCGAGAACUCCUACGGGAGGCAGCAGUGGGGGAUUUUGGACAAUGGGGGCAACCCUGAUCCAGCAAUGCCGCGUGAGUGAAGAAGGCCUUCGGGUUGUAAAGCUCUUUUGUCAGGGAAGAAACGGUAGUAGCUAAUAUCUAUUACUAAUGACGGUACCUGAAGAAUAAGCACCGGCUAACUACGUGCCAGCAGCCGCGGUAAUACGUAGGGUGCAAGCGUUAAUCGGAAUUACUGGGCGUAAAGCGUGCGCAGGCGGUUAUAUAAGACAGAUGUGAAAUCCCCGGGCUCAACCUGGGAACUGCAUUUGUGACUGUAUAGCUAGAGUACGGUAGAGGGGGAUGGAAUUCCGCGUGUAGCAGUGAAAUGCGUAGAUAUGCGGGGGAACACCGAUGGCGAAGGCAAUCCCCUGGACCUGUACUGACGCUCAUGCACGAAAGCGUGGGGAGCAAACAGGAUUAGAAACCCGUGUAGUCCGACUGAGA
rnacentral:rRNA from 1 species